GGUAGGUCUUAUAGACUCCCGACUGCAUGGGUUCGGGCUCUUCUUGCGCAGCCUAGGUGGGAGGCUAUGAAGGUAAACUCUUGGGUUUACUGGAGCCAUCAGUGAGAGACCACUCUGGAGGAGCUAGAAUUCUAAUGGCGUUCCUUGAAGCAGGACGCUUGACAGUUUCAGGCGGGCAGUUUGACUGGGGCGGUCACCUCCUAAAAGGUAACGGAGGUGUGCAAAGGUUCCCUCAGGCUGGACGGAAAUCAGCCGUAGAGUGUAAAGGCAGAAGGGAGCUUGACUGCAAGACCUACAAGUCGAGCAGGGGCGAAAGCCGGCCUUAGUGAUCCGACGGUUCCGUGUGGAAGGGCCGUCGCUAAACGGAUAAAAGUUACUCUAGGGAUAACAGGCUGAA
rnacentral:rRNA from 1 species